rnacentral:rRNA from 1 species
GACGAACGCUGGCGGCGUGCUUAACACAUGCAAGUCGAACGAGUGGCGAACGGGUGAGUAAUGUAUGGGGACUGCCCGAUAGAGGGGGAUAAAUACUGGAAAAGGUGGAUAAUACAGCGUACUGUCGGAUAACCCAUAUGUGAUUAGCGAGUAGGUAAGGUAAUGGCUGACCUAGGCGACGAUCCCCAGCUGGUCUGAGAGGAUGAUCAGCCACACUGGUACUGAGACACGGCCCAGACUCCUACGGAGGCAGCAGUGGGGAAUAUUGCACAAUGGGCGCAAGCCUGAGGCAGCCAUGCCGCGUGUAUGAAGAAGGCCCUAGGGUUGUAAAGUAUUUUCAGUCGGGAGGCGUUACCGACAGAAGAAGCACCGGCUAACUCCGUGCCAGCCGCCGCGGUAAUUC